UUUUAAAAAUAUCAUCCAUACUAUUAAAAAUUGGCUUAGCUCAUGGAAUAAUUAGAUAGUUACACAUGGUGUGCCCUAUAUAUCUCAUGGUGACAUAAAUGGACCAAUUUUUAAUAGUAAAAAUGAAUGGAAGUUUUAACA
rfam:Gossypium arboreum cultivar AKA8401 contig_45505_1, whole genome shotgun sequence.